rnacentral:rRNA from 1 species
GCAGCAGCCGCGGGAAAACCAGCACCUCGAGUGGUCAGGAGGUUUAUUGGGCCUAAAGCAUCCGUAGCCGGUUGCAUAAGUUUUCGGUUAAAUCUAUGCGCUUAACGUAUAGGCCGCCGAAAAUACUGUGCAGCUAGGGAGUGGGAGAGGUACACGGUACUCGAUGGGAAGGGGUAAAAUCCUUUGAUCUAUUGAUGACCACCUGUGGCGAAGGCGGUGUACCAGAACACGUUCGACGGUGAGGGAUGAAAGCUGGGGGAGCAAACCGGAUUAGAUACCCCCGUAGUCCCUGUCUCUUAUAC